rnacentral:rRNA from 1 species
CCUACGGGGGGCAGCAGUGAGGAAUAUUGGUCAAUGGGCGCGAGCCUGAACCAGCCAAGUCGCGUGAGGGAGGACGGCCCUACGGGUUGUAAACCUCUUUUGUCGGGGAGCAACGGGCGCCACGUGUGGCGUCUCUGAGAGUACCCGGAGAAAAAGCUUCGGCUAACUCCGUGCCAGAAGCCGCGGUAAUACGGAGGGUGCGAGCGUUAAUCGGAUUUACUGGGCGUAAAGCGCCCGUAGGCGGGAUGUAAAGUCAAGGGUGAAAUCCCCGCGCUCAACGUGGGAACUGCCUUUGAAACUGGCAAACUGGAGUGUGUGAGAGGAUAGUGGAAUUCGAGGUGUAGGAGUGAAAUCCGUAGAUAUCUGGAGGAACAUCAGUGGCGAAGGCGACUAUCUGGCACAUAACUGACGCUGAGGAGCGAAAGCGUGGGUAGCAAACAGGAUUAGAUACCCCUGUAGUC